rnacentral:sRNA from 1 species
UAAUAUAAUAAAUGUAAACUUGAAGUGGGUGGAUAAGGGUAUUGCAAACCCGCCCCUCAUGAUUACCUAUAAAGCACCUAAGACGUGGUUAAACGAUAGCUUAGCCAUUUCAAUUAGUAACAGUUAAUAGUGUUACCAACUAGAGAAAAAAAUCUAGGGUGGAGGUAAUCAUGGAAAUUAGCUUGAGGAUUUAGGGUAGCCACGGACUGGCUAACCACAAUACUAUACCCGUAGUUAAAUCGCCUUGAACAAGCGAAUGACCCAAAGCGGGAGGUCUCAUUAAGGUAGUUACCGAUGAAGCGUGGUAACACGUGUAUAACAGUCCAGUGGUGUAUGAGUAGCUAACGGUAUUUAAAUUUACAAGUUAUGUAUAUUACAAUCUAUGCUUACGCUUAGUGAAAGUUGGUGGGUACCGAUCCCAGCCCAGCCUUGGCCAUUUGCUAUCAGAGCUGUUUGUUGACGAACAAAUAGUAAGCCUGAUAGGUGCUGUCACCUAAUAAAGUCUGUUUGCUGAUAUUCCACGUAAACCAAUACGCAAGUUUAUAAAAG